AUGGUAACAAGCAUUAUGCAAACAGGCGAAGAAAUGAGGGAGAUCAGAGCUUACCUGUCGGAGACACUCCGGCGGUAUUUUAGAUGCGGUGAAGGCAAUGAGAAAUCCAGAGGACAAUCUUCAAAGCGCAGGGUAUUGUUACAGCAGAGCUACAAAGAGAUUUAUCAAGCUCACGACAGAAUACCAAUGACUGAGGCUCUUCCCGUUUCUUGA